CCAAAGGCUCUUUUAAGAGCCCCCCAAAAUUUCUUACAAAGAGCUGU
rfam:Anas platyrhynchos breed Pekin duck contig23314, whole genome shotgun sequence.